rnacentral:rRNA from 1 species
AUUGAACGCUGGCGGCAUGCCUUACACAUGCAAGUCGAACGGCAGCAUGAUCUAGCUUGCUAGAUUGAUGGCGAGUGGCGAACGGGUGAGCAAUACAUCGGAACGUGCCCUGUAGUGGGGGAUAACUAGUCGAAAGAUUAGCUAAUACCGCAUACGACCUGAGGGUGAAAGUGGGGGACCGCAAGGCCUCAUGCUAUAGGAGCGGCCGAUGUCUGAUUAGCUAGUUGGUGGGGGAAAGGCCCACCAAGGCGACGAUCAGUAGCUGGUCUGAGAGGACGAUCAGCCACACUGGGACUGAGACACGGCCCAGACUCCUACGGGAGGCAGCAGUGGGGAAUUUUGGACAAUGGGGGCAACCCUGAUCCAGCAAUGCCGCGUGUGUGAAGAAGGCCUUCGGGUUGUAAAGCACUUUUGUCCGGAAAGAAAUCGCACUUACUAAUAUUAGGUGUGGAUGACGGUACCGGAAGAAUAAGGACCGGCUAACUACGUGCCAGCAGCCGCAGUAA